UACGGAGGGUGCAAGCGUUAUCCGGAUUUACUGGGUUUAAAGGGUGCGUAGGUGGGCAGGUAAGUCAGUGGUGAAAUCUCCGGGCUUAACCCGGAAACUGCCAUUGAUACUAUCUGUCUUGAAUAUCCUGGAGGUAAGCGGAAUAUGUCAUGUAGCGGUGAAAUGCUUAGAUAUGACAUAGAACACCAAUUGCGAAGGCAGCUUACUACGGGAUCAUUGACACUGAGGCACGAAAGCGUGGGGAUCAAACAGG
rnacentral:rRNA from 1 species